GGUUGGUAGCCGAGCGGUUAAAGCGAUAGUUUAUUAAGCUAAGGUGGGUUCAAUCCCCACCAACGGCA